rnacentral:rRNA from 1 species
UACAGGGGGGGCAAGCGUUGUUCGGAAUUACUGGGCGUAAAGGGCUCGUAGGCGGCCAAUUAAGUCCGACGUGAAAUCCCCAGGCUUAACCUGGGAACUGCGUCGGAUACUGAUUGGCUUGAAUCCGGGAGAGGGAUGCGGAAUUCCUGGUGUAGCGGUGAAAUGCGCAGAUAUCAGGAGGAACACCGGUGGCGAAGGCGGUUCUCUGGGCAUUACCUGACGCUGAGGAGCGAAAGUGUGGGGAGCGAACAGG